rnacentral:rRNA from 1 species
AUUACCGCGGCUGCUGGCACGGAGUUAGCCGGUGCUUAUUCGUAUAGUACCUUCAGCUACCCUCACGAGGGUAGGUUUAUCCCUAUACAAAAGAAGUUUACAACCCAUAGGGCAGUCGUCCUUCACGCGGGAUGGCUGGUUCAGGCUUGCACCCAUUGACCAAUAUUCCUCACUGCUGCCUCCCGUAGG